UACGUAGGGGGCGAGCGUUGUCCGGAAUCAUUGGGCGUAAAGCGCGUGUAGGCGGCCGACCAAGUCCGGUGUGAAAGCUCAGGGCUCAACCCUGAGUCUGCACUGGAAACUGGCCGGCUUGAGUCCGGAAGAGGAGACUGGAAUUCCUGGUGUAGCGGUGAAAUGCGCAGAUAUCAGGAAGAACACCGGUGGCGAAGGCGGGUCUCUGGGACGGUACUGACGCUGAGACGCGAAAGCGUGGGGAGCAAACAGGAUUAGAUACC
rnacentral:rRNA from 1 species